GUGUCAAGUUAGUGAAACCUAUCCGAAAGAACUUUUAGUGACGACGAGGAAAAUAUUGAGUUUUUAACGCGUGCAAAAGUGAAGUACGUACUUAGUAGUGUAGUGAACGUGGAAUUAGUGGAAAACGGAUUUGGCCAAGUCAGCAACGAACGGAGAGAUCAGCAGAGGACAGAUCUGGUGCGGAUGUGGGCAUUUACAAUCGAAGGAAGCAGAGGACAAGCUUUGUGCGAAGGGAAGAGUACUGGACCGUAAGAGUUACAUUUGCUGGACCGUGUGGAAUAAAGAUCCGAUUUCGUCCGGCGGGAAACGCGGCGAAUCGUGGAAGCUGGUUGGUAAAGCCGGUCGCAAGCGACGCCAUUCCAACCGCUGACCAUUGUUUUGGGCGUGUUUGCGCUAUUGUAGCGACACAACUUUUGACGGAUUGCAAGAAUCUGAGGCGAUUUGAUUCGAUCGGCAGUGGAAGUGUCCUACGGUACGACGUUGUACUAGCCAAAACUUCAGAACGGAUCUAGGGGGCCACAGCCGGAAAACUUCGCAACUGGGCCGGGGCGAAGGAAGUAAUCUUGCAGGAUGGCGUUUCGUCUGGUGGAGGAAAGGCGAGGAUCCAAGAGGCGGCGAGCGAAUUCUGAUGAUGAACCCUUUCAGGGGUUUUUGCCCUCCCAACUACAGCCGCCCCCAUCUAGAAACCAAGUCCACCCUCAGGCGCUCGGCUGUGCUACUCAUAUAGCAAAGCGAAAACCAACACAGGGCCAGCUGGAUGUUGACAUAGAAAGCGAACUAAGGAGGUCGUCUCGCAUCCGGAAAAAGAAUAAUGAAAAAAUGCUUGUGUAUUACAAAUAAUCGAAUUACUGUUUCAGUUGGUGUAGUUGCAAGGAAUAUUAAGUGAAUUAAACCUUUCAGAAUUUAAAGAAUUUAUUCGAUAAAACAAAUUGUAAUUUUCGGUUUCAAAUCUCUAUAUGUAUUAAUUAGGUUAUAUAUUUCGAACUAUAAAAGGGAAGGCAUUGUAAGAUUGUGUUGUGGUUAACAUGUUUUCGACUGUUCGGUCUGAACUCCUUUGAUCGACGAAUAUUAGAAGCGAGACAGAAACAUACGAAACAGAAAAACAGUUCAACAAUAUCAACAAUACAAAUGUAUUUAGUGCAUUCAUGGAAAGUGUUUAUAAGCGAAUUCAAUAAAAUUGAUUAAUCU